rnacentral:rRNA from 1 species
UACGGAGGGUGCAAGCGUUAUCCGGAUUCACUGGGUUUAAAGGGUGCGUAGGUGGGUUGGUAAGUCAGUGGUGAAAUCUCGGGGCUUAACUCCGAAACUGCAUUCGAUACUGCCGUGCUUGAGGACUGGAGAGGAGACUGGAAUUUACGGUGUAGCGGUGAAAUGCGUAGAUAUCGUAAGGAAGACCAGUGGCGAAGGCGGGUCUCUGGACAGUUCCUGACGCUGAGGCACGAAGGUCAGGGGAGCAAACGGG